rnacentral:rRNA from 1 species
CACGAACCGUGCGAACGUUAUUCGGAAUCACUGGGCUUAAAGAGUGCGUAGGCGGCCUAGCAGGUGGGGUGUGAAAUCCCUCAGCUCAACUGAGGAACUGCGCUCCAAACCGCUUAGGCGUUGAGGGAGACAGAGGUGAGCGGAACUGAUGGUGGAGCGGUGAAAUGCGUUGAUAUCAUCAGGAACACCGGUGGCGAAGGCGGCUCACUGGGUCUCUUCUGACGCUGAGGCAGCGAAAAGCUAGGGGAGCGAACGGGAUUAGAUACCGGUC